rnacentral:sRNA from 2 species
UUCUUGCGUUAGGGAUGGUAACGGCAUCCUUUUUAUAUUUUUCAUAUAAAAAGAUAUAGUGAACAGCCCGACCCAAA